GAGUUUGAUCCUGGCUCAGGAUGAAUGCUGGCGGCGUGCCUAACACAUGCAAGUCGAGCGGCAGCACGAGUAGUUUACUACUUGGUGGCGAGCGGCGGACGGCUGAGUAACGCGUGGGAACGUGCCCUAAAGUGAGGGAUAACCGCUCGAAAGAGUGGCUAAUACCGCAUAUGGUCUUCGGAUUAAAGUAUUUAUACGCUUUGGGAGCGGCCCGCGUCGGAUUAGGUUGUUGGUGAGGUAAUGGCUCACCAAGCCGACGAUCCGUAGCUGGUCUGAGAGGAUGAUCAGCCAGACUGGAACUGAGACACGGUCCAGACUCCUACGGGAGGCAGCAGUGAGGAAUCUUCCACAAUGGGCGAAAGCCUGAUGGAGCAACGCCGCGUGCAGGAUGAAGGCCUUCGGGUUGUAAACUGCUUUUAUGAGUGAAGAAUAUGACGGUAGCUCAUGAAUAAGCACCGGCUAACUACGUGCCAGCAGCCGCGGUCAUACGUAGGGUGCAAGCAUUAUCCGGAGUGACUGGGCGUAAAGAGUUGCGUAGGUGGUUUGUUAAGCGAGUAGUGAAAGCCGACGGCUCAACCGUACGGAUUAUUAUUCGAACUGGCAGACUCGAGAGUGGUAGAGGUAACUGGAAUUUCUUGUGUAGGAGUGAAAUCCGUAGAUAUAAGAAGGAACACCAAUGGCGUAGGCAGGUUACUGGACCAUUUCUGACACUAAGGCACGAAAGCGUGGGGAGCGAACGGGGAUUAGAUACCCCGGUAGUCCACGCUGUAAACGAUGGAUACUAGCUGUUAGGGGUAUCGACCCCCUUAGUAGCGAAGCUAACGCGUUAAGUAUCCCGCCUGUGGAGUACGGCCGCCAGGCUA
rnacentral:rRNA from 1 species